rnacentral:rRNA from 1 species
UAAAGCAAGAAAGGGCGUAUGGGGAAUGCCUAGGCACACUCCGGCGAAGAAGGACGCAGCAAACAGCGAAAUGCGACGGUGAGCGGUAAGCACGUGAAGAGCCGUCGAUAUCCGAAUGGGGGAACCCACACGGAGUCAUAUCCGUGUAUCACAUGUCGAAUACAUAGACAUGAUGAGGCGAGACGCAGGGAACUGAAACAUCUAAGUACCUGCAGGAAGAGAAAAUAAGAAUGAUUUUCUGAGUAGCGGCGAGCGAAAGGGAAAGAGCCCAAACCGAUCUGAGGAUCGGGGUAGUAGGAUCAUCGAUAAAUCAAACAGAGGAUCAUAGAGGAAUCACAUGGGAAGGUGAGCGAGAGAGGGUGAGAGCCCCGUACUCGAAAUGAGAGACUGGAGAGAGAUGACACCUGAGUAGGGCGGGACACGAGAAAUCCUGUCUGAAUCAGCCGGGACCAUCCGGCAAGGCUAAAUACGAGAGAGUGACCGAUAGUGAACCAGUACCGUGAGGGAAAGGUGAAAAGAACCCCGGGAGGGGAGUGAAAGAGAACCUGAAACCAUAUGCCUACAAGAAGUCAGAGCCCGUUAAAGGGUGAUGGCGUGCCUUUUGUAGAAUGAACCGGCGAGUUACUGUAUGGAGCGAGGUUAAGCAGGAUAUGCGGAGCCGAAGCGAAAGCGAGUCUUAAGAGGGCGCGAGUUGCAUGCAGUAGACCCGAAACCGGGUGAUCUAGCCAUGACCAGGUUGAAGUUGGGGUAAAACCCGAUGGAGGACCGAACCGACCCCCGUUGAAACGUUGGCGGAUGAGUUGUGGCUAGGGGUGAAAUUCCAAUCGAACCCGGAGAUAGCUGGUUCUCCCCGAAAUAGCUUUAGGGCUAGCGUCGAGAGAAGAGUUGCGUGAAGGUAGAGCACUGAAUAUGUGAUGGCCCCAUCUCGGGGUACUGAGCAUAAUCAAACUGCGAAUGUCACGCCAACAUGCUCGGCAGUCAGACAGCGGGUGAUAAGGUCCGUUGUCAAGAGGGAAACAGCCCAGACCAUCAGCUAAGGUCCCAAAAUGUAUGCUAAGUGGAAAAGGAUGUGGAGAUGUACAGACAACUAGGAGGUUGGCUCAGAAGCAGCCAUCCUUUAAAGAGUGCGUAACAGCUCACUAGUCGAAUGACUCUGCGCCGAUAAUUUACCGGGGCUAAGCAUACUACCGAAGCUAUGGAUCCCAAGGGAUGGUAGGGGAGCGUUCCAUGAACGGAGAAGUACGACCGAAAGGACGUGUGGAGAUCAUGGAAGAGAGAAUGCCGGUGUGAGUAGCGGAACGUGGGUGAGAAUCCCACGCACCGAAAACCCAAGGUUUCCAGAGGAAGGUUCGUCCGCUCUGGGUAAGUCGGGACCUAAGGCGAGGCCGAAAGGCGUAGUCGAUGGACAACAGGUAGAGAUUCCUGUACCCGUAUAUAUGUGAAGGAAUGACGGAGAGAGGAAGCUGCAGCCAGCGGCUGGAAGAGCUGGUGCAAGCGAGAUAUCGGGAUGGCAGGCAAAUCCACCAUCCGAAACGAGAAGGCGUGAAGCGUACGGAAAGCUACGGCGAGUACGGAAGGCAGUGGAGGAACUUCCAAGAAAAGUUUCUAACGUUAAGUAUAUAUGGCCCGUACCGAAAAUGGACACACAUGGGUGAGGAGAGAAUCCUAAGGUGAGCGAGAGAACUAUAGCUAAGGAACUCUGCAAAAUGACUCCGUAACUUAGGGAGAAGGAGUGCUCAUAGAGAUAUGAGCCGCAGUGAAACGGCCCAAGCGACUGUUUACCAAAAACACAGCUCUCUGCUAAGCCGCAAGGCGAAGUAUAGGGGGUGACGCCUGCCCGGUGCUGGAAGGUUAAGGGGAGGGGUUAACGCAAGUGAAGCCCUGAACUGAAGCCCCAGUAAACGGCGGCCGUAACUAUAACGGUCCUAAGGUAGCGAAAUUCCUUGUCAGGUAAGUUCUGACCCGCACGAAAGGCGUAACGAUUUGGGCGCUGUCUCAGCUGUAGACUCGGUGAAGUCUUAGUACCUGUGAAGAUGCAGGUUACCCGCGACUAGACGGAAAGACCCCAUGGAGCUUCACUGCAGGUUGAUAUUGGGAUUUGAUGCAGCAUGUACAGGAUAGGUAGGAGGCAAAGAGAUGGAUACGCCAGUAUUCAAGGAGCCGCUGUUGGGAUACUACCCCUGUUGUAUUGGAUUUCUAACCGGACGACGUAGAGCCGUUGACGGGACAGUGUCAGUCGGGCAGUUUGACUGGGGCGGUCGCCUCCCAAAGAGUAACGGAGGCGCCCAAAGAUACCCUCAGCUUGGAUGGAAACCAAGCGCAGAGUGCAAAGGCAAAAGGGUGUUUGACUGCGAGACCCACAAGUCGAGCAGGGACGAAAGUCGGGCUUAGUGAUCCGGCGGUGCUGAAUGGAAAGGCCGUCGCUCAACGGAUAAAAGCUACCCUGGGGAUAACAGGCUGAUCUCCCCCAA